AAUAUUGCGCAAUGGUCGAAAGACUGACGCAGCGACGCCGCGUGGGGGAGGAAGGCCCUAGGGUUGUAAACCCCUGUCAGGUGGGACGAACACCUUGUCGGAUAAUACUCGGCAGGACUGACGGUACCACCAGAGGAAGCUCCGGCUAACUCCGUGCCAGCAGCCGCGGUAAUACGGAGGGAGCGAGCGUUGUUCGGAAUUACUGGGCGUAAAGGGCGCGUAGGCGGCCUCGUAAGUCGGGUUGAAAUGUGUGAAAUGCCGGGGCUCAACCCCGUGCACUGCACCCGAUACUGCAUGGCUAGAGAAAGGUAGAGGCGAGCGGAAUUCCCGGUGUAGCGGUGGAAUGCGUAGAUAUCGGGAAGAACAUCUGCGGCGAAGGCGGCUCGCUGGGCCUUUUCUGACGCUGAAGCGCGAAAGCGUGGGGAGCAAACAGGAUUAGAUACCCUGGUAGUCCACGCCGUAAACGCUGGGCACUAGGUGUCGGGAGGCUUGGCCCUUUCGGUGCCGCAGCUAACGCAUUAAGUGCCCCGCCUGGGAAUUACGGCCGCAAGGCUGAAACUCAAAGGAAUUGACGG
rnacentral:rRNA from 1 species